rnacentral:rRNA from 1 species
GACGAACGCUGGCGGCGUGCUUAACACAUGCAAGUCGAGCGGUAAGGCCCUUUCGGGGGUACGACGAGCGGCGAACGGGUGAGUAACACGUGGGUGACCUGCCCUUAGCUCUGGGAUAAGCCUGGGAAACUGGGUCUAAUACCGGAUAUGACUCCAUGACGCAUGUUGUGGGGUGGAAAGCCUUGUGCGGCUAGGGAGUGGGCCCGCGGCCUAUCAGCUUGUUGGUGGGGUGAUGGCCUACCAAGGCGACGACGGUAGCCGGCCUGAGAGGGCGACCGGCCACACUGGGACUGAGACACGGCCCAGACUCCUACGGGAGGCAGCAGUGGGGAAUCUUGCGCAAUGGGCGAAAGCCUGACGCAGCGACGCCGCGUGGGGA